rfam:Nematostella vectensis strain CH2 x CH6 NEMVEscaffold_25_Cont4537, whole genome shotgun sequence.
GGCCUUGUGGCCCAAUGGAUAAGGCGUCUGACUACGGAUCAGGAGAUUCCAGGUUCGAGUCCUGGCAGGGUCG